GAAGUACUCCCUCCGUCUGGAAUUACUUGUCAUCAAAAUGGAUGUGUCUAGAACUAAAAUACAUCUAGAUACAUCCAUUUCAAUGACAAGUAUUUUCGGACGGAGGGAGUACAAU
rnacentral:pre_miRNA from 1 species